CAGUUAAAUAUGGAUUUCAGAUCAACAAGGGCUAAUCUUUUAGUAGGAGAAAAGACCUGGCCCACGCCUCCCAGAGGCUUUACCUGGUGAAGAGGAGGAGCAGCCACUGCAGCGCGGUGGACAGGGUGUCCUGGCUGGCGCCGAAGAUGUCAGUGAUAGUGGCCGUCUAUCUUUGUUGAGUUUUGGUAUUGAUUUUAUGUGUCAGUACCUGAGAAGGAGAGAAGUCCUUGAGUUGUUUCGUAAAUGUGGCUCAAGUGAGAUGCUGAACAGUGCCAGCCAUGUGGACUCUGCCACAGUGAAGGAGGAAGGCAGCACUGAGAAGUGAAGGAAUAUUUGGGAGGAUCAGAAGCUUGGUCCUGAUUUUGCCAUCAACAGGAACUUGAUGACUUCAAGGGAGUCCCCAAACCCUGGGUUUCUGUUUUCUCAACUCUAACAUGAGGGGCUAGAUGCAUCUGGUUUAGUUAGUCUCCAUGAUGGUUUAGUUCGUCUCCAUGAUCCUGUGAAUUUCAGAUGUUGAAAAUCUUCGGAAAAGCCCUGAAAGAUGAACAGUGGUCUCAAAUAGUCAAGACCCCCUGCUGGGAGGAGCUUCUAUCCUGCUCUGUGGAA
ensembl:lncRNA CYP1B1-AS1 CYP1B1 antisense RNA 1